rnacentral:rRNA from 1 species
GUCCAGACUCCUACGGGAGGCAGCAGUGGGGAAUAUUGCACAAUGGGGGAAACCCUGAUGCAGCGACGCCGCGUGAGUGAAGAAGUAUUUCGGUAUGUAAAGCUCUAUCAGCAGGGAAGAAAAUGACGGUACCUGACUAAGAAGCCCCGGCUAACUACGUGCCAGCAGCCGCGGUAAUACGUAGGGGGCAAGCGUUAUCCGGAUUUACUGGGUGUAAAGGGAGCGUAGACGGCAUGGCAAGUCAGAUGUGAAAGCCCGGGGCUCAACCCCGGGACUGCAUUUGAAACUGUCAGGCUGGAGUGCAGGAGAGGUAAGUGGAAUUCCUAGUGUAGCGGUGAAAUGCGUAGAUAUUAGGAGGAACACCAGUGGCGAAGGCGGCUUACUGGACUGUAACUGACGUUGAGGCUCGAAAGCGUGGGGAGCAAACAGGAUUAGAUACCCCCGUACA